GAACAUUUAAAGAGACAACGUGUAGUUUUUCCCAUUAAUUUCUGGAAACAUCCAUCAAAAUGUUGUUAAAAGUCAAUGAAAUGAUGCCCAGUUGUUGAAAGAUAUUGGUGGCUUCGUAACAUAUAACCAUAAAACCAGCUCAGUGACCUAGUGGUAGAGUGUCCGCCCUGAGACUGGGAGAUCAGGGUUCGAUUCCUGGUCGGGUCAUACCAACGACUUUGAAAAAAUGGGACCCAAUGCCUCCCUGCUUGACACUCAGCAUUAAGGGGUUGGAUUGGGGGUUAAACCACCAAAUAGUUCCCGAGCGCGGCUGUGUCUGCAGUUCGCCGCUCCCCCAGGGGAUGGGUCAAAUACGGAGAACAAAUUUCGCACACACAUCAGUGUGUGUGACAACUAAUGGGACUUUAACUUUAACUUAAAAAUCAGGUCUACAACACAUAGGAGCGGGUCUAAGUCUCUGGGCGAUGCCAUUAUAGACGCCAUGUUUCCUUCUACGGGAAGCCGUGAGGACAAAAUGCGUUUACUGAUUUGUAACAAAUGGUUACGAAACUUUUGUCAUUCUUAAACGUUUUACAUAUUUAUCUCCACUUGAUGCCAGUGAUGGAAGGGAGUCUAAUGUGCUCGUUAUUUUUGCUGAAGUUUGCACUCCCCAGGGCUUUUUGACCCUAAUAGGCAUCCGUAGGUAAGGCCUUAUUCCAACACAAAAAUGCUGCUCGCUUGCAACGAUUUAGGAAUCUACUGCCCCCAUCACCAGGAAAAAUACACACUGUCACUUUAAGAAAAUAAUCAUUGGAUGUGCACUAGAGGUCGAUCGAUGUUGGUUUUUCUAUUGCUGAUUUCCGUAGCCGAUAUUUGGAUGUUUUCCACCUUAUUUUCAUGCAAAAAUAUCACUAAUAACAUCAGCUGAUGUGCAAGAGUUCUAAAGCUAAAUCAGUUUCUGAACUCUGAAUUUAACUUAUUGUUAAAUCUUAGCUUUUUGCACUUCUCAGUGUUAAGCCUGGGGCACACCGGAGGCAGACGCGCCGUGCUGCAUCACGUGCGCCUGCCAUUUUGAGAAGUCAAAUGGUCACACAGGAUGCGCCGCGCUGCUGAGCACUUCUUGGAAAGUAGUCACAACAUCACGUGGGACUUGAGAACAGGAAGCGGGAAGUAACUCUACACGUGAUCAAGCUUGAAGUCAUGUUUUGUGAGACUGUAAUUCAUUAACAGUGGGUAAGUACGCUAUUUAUUCAAAUAUUUUAAGAUCAAUGGUACUAGUGAUCAAAACUGAGGCUGGGUUUGUGCCGGCGGUUGGGUUUGUGCCGUAAAGCGUUCUGCGUCGUAAUGUCUGUUGUAAAGCACUUCACAAUGUUGUAAACAGCUAGCCUGGCCCGCCAGACUCCUCCUCUUUAGUUCUGCACAGAGAAAGGGUCUGGGAAAUCUCCUGUUCAAAUAACCCCACCCCCUGAGAAUUCUAACCGAGCCAGUCAGCACUGAGUAUCGUACGUCACACACCACAACGCUGAGUUUGUCAUAAACAUGGCGACUGAAGCGGAGUUCGCUGCGGCUCUUUCCCCUGUUCUAAAUGACUUGGACACGUCUUUAAAACAACAAGUAGAAGCCCCAAAAGCCUUUCUUCCAAAGAAAGAUGUCUGCGCUGUCGCCAGACGCCAUUUUUGACUACAGCUAAAAAACUACAGCGUCACGCGGUACAGUCAGCUUUUCCGUCUUUUUUCUGAUUGGUUAUUUGUGAGCUGGCCAGUCCCGCCCCUCAUGUGCCACUCUGCCUGUGAGUAACCAGACUCUUUCUCUGCGGAAUUAAACAGAGGACUCGUCUGGCAGGCCAGGCUAGUAAACAGCCGCGGUGCUUGAGAUGGAACUGGUGCCUAUCUUCAGCACCUUGGCGCGGCGCGGCGCGGCGCUCCCCGUGUGCUCACUGUCAAUAACUAUAAUGGCUUCUAUCUAAAAUGAUGGUGCAACGCGGCACGUCUGCCUAUAGUGUGCCCCAGGCUUUAGAGUUAGACACCUAAAUAUGUCAUGGUCCGUGGUGAGCUGACUGCCUGUAACCUGGCUUUUUCCUCUGAGCAUUGUUUCCACAGGUGGGCAUGUCUGAGAGCUCCAGCUGCAGCUGAUCUCCUCAUCAAGGCCCAGGGGAUUUAAGGAGCAGUGCGACACUUCACCACGCCGGAUGAUUACUCUGUUUGGGUUCCUCUCAAUCCCUCACCAGCUCCAGAACAAACCCGGAUCUCAGUCUACCUGACGCACUGCUUCAUCCCCUGGCCGCCCGCUCUCAGCCGCUCACCUACCAACAUCCAUUCCUGCUCCUCCACCUCUGGACAACCAAUACCUUACCUUUGGAUCUCCUCAGCUCACCCGGACCAGACAAUCCUUCCUGUACAAUUACCACUACCAAAAUCUCAUCCUGGAUUCCUGCUGCCAGUCCUGCAUCUCGUUGGUUCCUGUCUCUUACUUUCUCCUUAUUUAGUAAUAAAAGCCUUUUUACUUACAUCCCUGCUCUCCGUGUUGUGAUUCUGCAUGUCGUGGGUCAAGAAAUUGCCACCCACCAUGACAAAAUAAAGUUAAUUUAGAGUAUUUAUUAUGCAUUAAUUUAUUAGUGAUUGUAAAAAUACAUUAAAAUGAAAGACUUUGAAAUCGUAUGUUUUAAGCUAAUAUUUCCUAAGACAAAACAUGUGUUUAUAGAGGCAGUAGAGACCCACACGGCAGCACAAAAGGUGAGUUUUGCAUAAUAUGUCUCAUUUAAAAAUAUUUAAGCACAUCAAAAAAACUAUUAAAAACAAGCCCAAACAUAACAGUUUCAGACUGACAACCUCUGCUUUAAAGGAGCUGAUGCACGUGCUCCUAUUUGGAGGUUGUAAAUGAACGGAAACCAAAGACUUCUGAGAGUUUAGGGACUUUUGUUUUGGCCACUUAAAGGAGAAGAGGAGUGAGAUAAGAAAUGAACACUCAACAGUUGAUCCAGCAGUUUUAUUUAUUUAUUUAUUUAUUGCUGUCCAUGCAGACAGCUACCCUCUUUGUACUCAUGGCUGCAACUCCAUGUAUCCCUAUCGUAAAACAUCAGCACUUGGUGGUGGCUGUUAACAUCUCCCAACACUAAUGCCCCCCACACUUUGCCUUGGGAACUCUCGGACCAUUGUCCUUCACCUUGAUGCAGGACGUGGUGAAAGCGAGAGAGGACAAAAAGCCUGGCAGGUUUCUCAUGCUGCUGCUUUGUGGAGCUUCGCCAGGGAAAAAGAGGUUGGGGCUGACCGAGGGAAGCGGGCUACAGGUAAACUGUGGCCAACACAAAAGAAACAAAACCAGGAUUGUGAAGUUGAAUAGCCACACAUCUCUGCAUUUGACAUCUGAAGCCUGUGGUUACCGACGGAGAGCUGGGAUUUGGUUUCACCUCACCAGAACAACACCACAUUCAAUCUGUAGCCCUGGUAACAAUUGGUUCAUCUGCUGUUCAGGGAAAAGUUUGGAAAGUGUACUCCUGGCUAGAAUAGAUGUAACAAGCCUUUUGCAAAGUUAAAUUCACAUUCAUUUUUAUCCUUAUUGUCAUUCAACAGCCUGUCACAGAAACUCAGGAAAGCCUAAAUUAAAAUCAUGGUUAAACACCUAAAUUAAUAUUGGAUCAGCAUUCAUGAGCCCCACAAUCUCAUAAUUAAGUAGUAUUUUGAUUUUGUUAUUCUGGAUUUGAGGCAGUCAAGUCUUCUGCCUGAAGAAAGUAUGGUGAAUAGUGUGUGAGCAGGAUUUAUAGCUAUUAGUCGGCCAAUACAUCGGGCCAAUGUUUACCGUUUUUUAUGCAUCAGCUGAUAUUUGUCCUUGUAAAGCUGAUUUGAAGUCAGGCACGUCCUCGGGCAGCCCGGUGCUGUUGCAGAAUUUAAUUCAAAUAUAUUUUUUCAUUCACCAAAAACAUCCACAUAAUAAAUACUCUAAAUUUACAUUAUUAAGGUGUCUAACUCUAACACUGAGCAGUGAGCAACAGUUUUUAAUUUGACAGUUCAAAAGCUGAUUAAGCUUCAGCAAUUUUGUGCAUCAACUGACAUUUUAUCAUGAAAAUAAGGUGGAAAACAUUCAGAUACUGACCAUGGAAAUUGGCCCAUGAAAAACGGCAGUACAUAUGGGCCAUGUGUCUCCAUCGGCAUCGGUAUUGGCAAUAGAAAAACCAAUAUCGGUUGACCUCUGGAAGGACCUACCUCACUGAUGAAACAUUGAUGACUUAUAUAUAUAUAUUUUUAUGUUAAAUCAAAUUAAACACAUUGUGUGCUGAGACAGAUGACAAUCUUUGUCUUUGUUCAAGUCAAGAGUGAAGUGUUUGCCCAGUUUUUCCUGUUUCAGAGGAUUUUGUUUCAAAUGUGCUUGUAGAGCAUUUAUGACCAACACUUUAUUUCAGAGUCAGUUUGCAGGUUAAAAAACUGCAAGAAUAAUCUUCGUUAUUCUGUUUGAAGUGAAAGUGCAUACAGCGACAGUGGCAUGCCGUGGUUCACAAAUAGAAAGAACAUCUUCUGCAGGGGUCGGUGUCUUUAGUUUGUGACGAUCUACCCAGGAGGCCUGAUGGAUUGGAGGCUGCUGCUGGGUUUCAUCCAGUCAUCUGACUCUGUGCCAGAUCUUAUACCUGCAGCCUUCGUCAUUCUCUUAAGUCUCAACUCCUGGUUAAAAAAUAUAUAUAAUCAGUGAGUUAGGAUGGAUGCUUGAUGAAUGAAGAGGUAUCUUGAUGGGUGUUUGUGACUGAAGGAAUCAGUAUCGAGGGCUGCAGAGUCAUUUCCACCUGUCCUUAAUCUGAGCUUCGUGUGGUGUACUAAUCCAGCUAAACAUUCUGCUGCUUCAAAAGAGCUUAUAAUCUUUCCUGCGCUGAAAGUCACCCAGCAGCUGCAUGUUCAGUGUAAAGGAAUCAGAAAGGUUGGGAAGCUUCCGCACCGUUCAGGAAAACUAAACUGAAGUGUUUUAGGAGCCAAAAUACCACAUGAGCAGAAAGCAGUAAACUGUUCUGAUGGUUUUGGGGAGAAUUUUUAUACACACAUGUAAUCUAUAAAGAUGCAGCUUGCUGGAAAACAACAUUUUUUUUCUCGAGUUUUGUCAGCGAGGCCAAUACUUGAUUGAUUUAAUAAACCAAUAUUAAAUCAAAUAAAAUGUUGUUUAACAUCCAGUAUUGCAGAGACCCUCUUCCAUCAGUUUGAGUUCUCCAUUGUUUUUGAGAGGAUGCACCAGAUCUUUAGACAAUAGCGCUUCUCUUAAACCAGGGGAGCCUCGUCCUAUUGUCCUACCUUCUAUUGUGGAGCUCCUAACAGAACACUGUCAGUCUUUGUUUUUGCAUGGAUCAGCUGUGCAGCCAUGUUUUUUACGCUCUACUGAGUCCCAUGUGGCUGCCAUGCCCUACAAAUCACCAUAAUAAAGUUAAGGACAGUGCUGUUACAGUUGAUAAUGGAAAGGCAAAUAUGUUUCACCGGUUGAAUGUUGGGCACUGAAGGGCUGCACAUGUGUGUGCAGGAUUCACAGCAGGCUAUACUCCAGACUCAUCUGAUUGCCAACUCCCUGUAACAGUAAUUUACAUUUUA